rnacentral:misc_RNA from 1 species
GAUGAAGAACGCAGCGAAAUGCGAUACUUGGUGUGAAUUGCAGAAUCCCGUGAACCAUCGAGUCUUUGAACGCAAGUUGCGCCCGAAGCCAUCAGGUUGAGGGCACGUCUGCCUGGGCGUCACAUAUCGUUGCCCAAUGCCUAUUGCAGUGCAAUAGGAAUUUCUAGGGCGAAUGAUGGCUUCCCGUGAGCGUUGUUGCCUCGCGGUUGGUUGAAAAUCGAGUACUUGGUAGGGUGUGCCAUGGUAGAUGGUGGUCGAGUUAGAACGAUACCGAUCAUGUGCAUGCUCCCCAAAAUAUGGCCUCUAUGACCCACACGCGUCUUUUGACGCUCAUGACGAGACCUCAGGUCAGGCGGGGCUACCCGCUGAAUUUAAGCAUAUCAAUAAGCGGAGGA